AUUGAACGCUGGCGGCAUGCCUUACACAUGCAAGUCGAACGGCAGCGGACCUUCGGGUGCCGGCGAGUGGCGAACGGGUGAGUAAUAUAUCGGAACGUACCUUUCAGUGGGGGAGUAACGUAGCGAAAGUUAACGCUAAUACCGCAUAUUCUGUGAGCAGGAAAGACAGGGGAGUCGUAAGACCUUGCGCUGAUUGAGCGGCCGAUAUCAGAUUAGCUAGUUGGUGAGGUAAAGGCUCACCAAGGCGACGAUCUGUAGCGGGUCUGAGAGGAUGAUCCGCCACACUGGAACUGAGACACGGUCCAGACUCCUACGGGA
rnacentral:rRNA from 1 species